GUGCACAAUUUCAUUGUCUUUUUUCCUUUACAUCAGGAAAAAAGAUAUUUCUGAUGUGCUAAAUAAACUUUCGGAGGUCUAUUAGCAGCAUGACUAAUAUAGCCAUUGCUGUCAGUCACCUUCAGACAAGC